AGGUCAUAAAGAUUCUGGGCCGCACCGGAUCCCAGGGACAGUGUACACAGGUCCGAGUUGAGUUCUUGGACGACUCAAACCGAUCCAUCAUCCGAAAUGUGAAGGGACCAGUCCGCGAGGGAGAUAUCCUCACACUGUUGGAGAGCGAGAGAGAAGCAAGAAGACUGAGGUGAAUGGAGGAACUGAGCCAUAGACCACACAAAUGUUUAUACACUUCAUCAAGACAAAGAACACCUUAUCUCCUGUCUAUCAUCCUGACUUCAGUGAUUCACAUGUGAGAGUUUAACCACCACCUAACAACAUCACGUGUUGGAAAAGGAUACAACUACUGUGGAGUUUCACUGUUCAUGCUGAAAUGAUUGAAUAAAGUUUGUUUGUCUUUGGUUCAAAAUAA